CUUUUCGGUAUAUUUCGCAGAGACUUGCAAUCUUAUUUUGCAGAUCUUAGCAUUUUCCUCGCAAAUGAUAGUAAAAAAAUGUAUAUUUUGGUUGACAACAGACCAUGGUUGACAACAGACCUUGGUUCAAGGGGAGUACACAUUUGGCAAUUGAUGGUUACUAAGUCAAGGUUAUCUCCCUUUGUAUAUUCCAAAGCUCGAAGAGAGAGAAAGGGAGGCAAGGAGGUUUGUCCUCGAUCAAGCUUAAGUAAACCAAAGGAAUUUAAGGAAUUUAUGAGAUGGUUCUCGUUGAUUGAAGCAGUGAUGUCAUCAAGAAAAUACAUUUGCAAGUUACACAUUUGCAAGUUACUUGUCGGUGAACUGUUCAAUAAAAUACACUCGAAGCCAAGGUGGAGCUCAUAAUCUUGGCUUGUUUAUUCAA